rnacentral:rRNA from 1 species
CCUACGGGAGGCAGCAGUAGGGAAUCUUUCACAAUGGGCGAAAGCCUGACGGAGCAACGCCGCGUGCAGGAUGAAGGCCUUCGGGUUGUAAACUGCUUUUAUAAGCGAGAAAUAUGAUGGUAACUUAUGAAUAAGGAUCGGCUAACUACGUGCCAGCAGCCGCGGUCAUACGUAGGAUCCGAGCAUUAUCCGGAGUGACUGGGUGUAAAGAGUUGCGUAGGUGGGAUAAUAAGUAGCUGGUGAAAUCUGGUGGCUCAACCAUUCAGACUAUUAGCAAAACUGUUAAGCUCGAGACCGUUAGGGGUAACUGGAAUUUCUAGUGUAGGAGUGAAAUGCGUAGAUAUUAGAAGGAACACCAAUAGCGUAGGCAGGUUACUGGGACGGUUCUGACACUAAGGCACGAAAGUGUAGGGAGCAAACGGGAUUAGAUACCCGUGUAGUC